GGGGAAUAUUGGACAAUGGGCGCAAGCCUGAUCCAGCCAUGCCGCGUGGGUGAAGAAGGCCUUCGGGUUGUAAAGCCCUUUUGUUGGGAAAGAAAAGCAGCCGGCCAAUACCCGGUUGUUCUGACGGUACCCAAAGAAUAAGCACCGGCUAACUUCGUGCCAGCAGCCGCGGUAAUACGAAGGGUGCAAGCGUUACUCGGAAUUACUGGGCGUAAAGCGUGCGUAGGUGGUGGUUUAAGUCCGUUGUGAAAGCCCUGGGCUCAACCUGGGAACUGCAGUGGAUACUGGAUCACUAGAGUGUGGCAGAGGGUAGUGGAAUUCCCGGUGUAGCAGUGAAAUGCGUAGAGAUCGGGAGGAACACCAGUGGCGAAGGCGGUUCUCUGGACAUUUCCUGACGCUGAGAAGCGAAAGCGUGGGGAGCAAACA
rnacentral:rRNA from 1 species